AAAUAAAUAAAUAAGUAAAUAAAUAAAUAAAUAAAUAAAUAAACAAGUAAAUAAAUAAAUAAGUAAAUAAAUAAAUAAGUAAAUAAAUAAAUAAGUAAAUAAAUAAAUAAGUAAAUAAAUAAAUAAAUAAGUAAAUAAAUUAAUAAGGUACAUUAUAAAGAAAAGAAGAACAACAAAGUUGUAUUAUAAAACUGUAAUUUUUUAUUUGUGUUGCACUAGUAAAGAAAAUAGUAUUAUAUCUAUUUACAUUGUUAGGUAACAAAGAAAGAGAAAGGGGAGAAAUAUAUAUACUGAUAUAGUAGUGGCAUGCUCAUAUAUAUAUAUAUACAUGCGAACAGAUAUAUAAACAUAUUAGGUGUGUUUCCAGUGGAAGCUACUAUAUAAAUAAUACUGUAGAAGAACAUAAUAGUGGUACACUUAAAAUGUAUAGUAAUACUAAAGCAAAUUAUAGUAACUUUCAGAGUAGUAAGCCUAAGCAUGAUGUAAUAAAAAGCUCAGUAUAUCGUACAAACAGUACAAGCGAAAUGAACAACAUGUACAACCCUAAUAAUGCUACAUAUAACCCUAAUAAUGCUACAUAUAACCCUAAUAAUGCGACAUAUAGCCCCAAUAAUGCAACGUAUAGCCCCAACAAUGCAACGUAUAGCCCCAAUAAUGCGACAUAUAGCCCCAAUAAUGUGAUGUUAACCCCAAACGACACUAUGUUCGACCCAAGCGACACCAUGUACGGACCAACUGAUACCAUGUAUAGCAGAAACGAUGCCAUUUACAGCAGAAAUGACACCAUAUAUGGGCCGAACGAUACGAUUUAUAGCAGAAACGACACCAUGUAUAGUAUGAACGACAACAUGUAUAGUAGGAAUGAUACAAUAUACAGCAAGAAUAACACACUAUUAGGUAAAAACUUAAUUAUGGGGAGUUUAAAUGAAAUGCAAAGUAAAACAUUAAAAGGAAUAAAUUAUAACAUAACAGAAAAUUUGAAAGAAAGUAUAAAAGAAUGUAUGCAAGAAAGUAUGAAUGAAAAGAAUGAAAAUUAUACUAAUUCUUUUGCCAAUUUAUUAUACUUUAAAAUGCUAAAAUUAAAUAAAAAAUUAUUUAGUAAGUUAGAAAAUAAAAACGUUGUAAUAUAUUUGAAAUAUAAAAAUACUGUAUGUACAAGUGAAAAUAUAAAAAUAACAAAUCACGAAAUGAAUGAUUUAUUUUUAUGUUUUUUAAUUACUGAACCAUUUAUAAAGGAUGAAAAAAAAUUAAUAAAAGUAUAUAUUAAAUAUUUUAAAAAUAAUAAAUAUAAAAUAUUAUCUUUCGGAUUAAUACAAUUAAAUUUUGAAGAAUUCACAGAAAAUUUUUACAAUAAAAAAAUAUAUUUGUUAUGUUAUGAUAAAAAAAAAAAUAAAUAUGUAUUUGGCUAUUUUAUAAUAAUGUUAGCAAAUCAAAUAAAAUGGACAGUAUGUAAUCAAAGGAUCACCUAUGAACAUAUUAACAAUUCUUAUUUUGUAUAUAAUAAAAAUAAUUACGAUCGACAGAUAUUUUAUAUUUGUAGAGAAAUACAAAAAGCGUUAUUGCAAGCUUGUUACAAUGAUCAAUCAAACCAAAUAAACCAAACAAACCAAAUAAACCAAACAAACCAAACAAAUCAAACAAACCAAACAAAUCAAUCAAACCAAACAAAUCAAUCAAACCAAACAAAUCAAUCAAACCAAACAAAUCAAAUACAUUAUGAUAACUUCGAUAAACAAAUUAAUCAAGUUAAAAAUUUAAAAAAAAGAGGUUUAUUAAAACAUUUUACUGUUACUCAAAGUUGUCCUGGUACAUUCAGAUAUGGUAGAGAAAAAUCUGAUAACAUAGAUAAAGAGCUUAAAAAUAUAAUACAAAUACCAAUUAGAACCUAUCAGAGUGAUAAUUUAAUAAAACAACACACAUACUAUGAUUUACCAAUAACUACAAAAAAUAAUAAAAUUUUAAAUGGUGAAGAACAAGAAGUUGGUAACAGUAUAUAUUAUACUAACGAAAAUAAUAAACAUGAACAGAUUUAUAAAGCAAUGGAACAAACUUAUUAUAAUAGAAACAUAAAUGAACAAAAUAUAAAACAAACAAACGUUAAUGUAGUAAGUGACGAAACAACAGAUACUUUCAUUAAAACAUAUACUCUCCCAAAAAAUAUAAAUGAAACUUGUGAACAUGAAAAUCAUAUAUAUGAUAUUGCGAAACACCCAGAAAAGAAUACUCUUUUACCAAAGUUAAACGAAUUUAUUAAUAAACAAACUACCUUUACAUCUCCAUUAUAUAUAACUGAUGAAAAUGAUAAAAUAACUACUAGGGACGAUAAAACAAAAACAGAGCAACAUGACUUACAGAACAAUAUAAUCAAUCUGCAAAACACAAACUAUGACACAACUCUAACAAACGAUAUUCUUGAGAAAGAUGUUUUAACUUUCAAUAAAAAGCAAAAAAGUCAAACUGGGUUGUUUUAUGUGGACAAAAAUAUACCUGCGGAUGAACCGGAUUAUGUUGAAGCGGAUAUAAAGGAAAAGAGGGUAGAGCAGGAGGUAGAGCAGGAAGUAGAACAGGAAGUAGAACAG
ensembl:lncRNA